rnacentral:lncRNA from 1 species
CCACCAAACAGCAGAUCACAGCCCUGGAGAUUCAGGAAUCAUUUCUUUUGCACGGUAGCACAUGACAUAGCUGGAACUCAAUUAAUGUUUCCACUGAUUUUUCACAGAUCUGUGCCCUUGCAUGCAAUAUCCAGACAGAUCACGUGCAAAGUCACAGCCACCUCACUGAUGGACACAAACUGAAUGUCACCAUCUAUGCUCCCACCAUGCUGUCCUCACCCUUGAUGGACACCCAAACCAAAACCCAGUAGAAGAAAAAAACCCUCACGUCUCCCAGGUGCCAACAGCUCCCAGUUAAACUUCCCCAGAUCAGGAGUGCUGAAAUUUAACAAGUAGUUUUUAUUGCUGCCAGGCAAAUCUUGACUUAGAAAACCAUUUCUUCAUUAAAAAGGUGCUGGUUCCUGAAUCCCAAAAGGCACCUGAGUCCUGCUGAAUAAACAGUGGUCCCUUGCUCUGCUCUGAGGCACCAGCCUGCUCCACCUGCAGCAGGAGCAGCUGAAGCUCACACAGCAUGAGAAAUGAAGUUUACAGUGUUCAGGGCAGCUCAAAAUGGAGUUCAGAUUGGAAGCUGCUUGCAACCUUAUCUGCUUGCACUCUGGACAUAUUACAGCAGACUUCCAGAUGAGAGGACGAAGACUAUGAGUGAAGAGUGCCCUGGAGAUCUCCUGCAGUUCUUUUCCUGGCUCAGAACUGGAUUGAUCUGA